UAUGUGAUACGACACGCCGCCAUUUUGGAUUCAGACCGCUCAUGACAUGACGCAGCAUGCUAAUAUGUUUAGCAUGCUACUUCGUAUAUUGCAGUUAACGAGCGCGGUUUGCUAAAGCUGCCGAGUUAUGACCACUCGACUUGUUUGUGACCCUCCAUAGAAGUUAAAGCCUCCACCUGAACUCCAUCUCAGCCGCACACACCUCUCCGUCGUCUCUCAGUGUCAGAUGGAGGAAUAACCCUCCGCUGUUCCUCCUCCAGCCAGGCCGCUGUAGGACACCGAAGGGCGGGGGCAGAAGGAGCUCGGGGCCGGUGUUGGGAGCGGAUCUCCGGCAGCAGCUCUGGCAGCGCCUCCUCCCUCACGCUGCUGCUGCUGCAUGCUGCGGAGCCACACGUAGAUGAACGGAAACAUACACCGCCUGCUUCUCCUUGAUGCACUGUUCCAACACCGAGAGGAGCUGCAGGGGCCGAUUGACUUCAGUGUGAUCCGCAGAGAGAGGAGAGGAUGAGCCGCAGAGGAUCCCUCACCAUGUCUCUGCUCUUGUGUCUGAUGUGGACACAGCUGCUGCUCACAGAAUCGUCUUCUGGUGAUCACGAGCUACGUCUCUUCCCUUCUCGACGCUCCAGUCGUCUCCCUCCUCCUCUGCACCCCCGGCAUGACCUGAACUCACAGCACGAUGUGGACAACCUUCCCGAGUCCCACCCGCACCACCACCACCACCUCCAUCACCUCCACCACCAUCAGCACCAUCAGCACCCUGCCAGGUUAGCCAAAGUGAUGCCGGCCGCACACUUGGACUCUCGGUUUCGUCAGGAGCCCGUUGGCCAGCAAACCCUGAACCUGCUCGCGCGGCCACAUCACAAGGUGCAGCCGGAGCACGCCGUGGUGUCUGCACGCCACCUGGUGACCGUGGUGAGUAAUCCGCUUACUGACGGAGAUGUUG